CACACGGAUCAGCGACAGGCGGGACCGGGCACAUGGAGCACGGAGAGGCGGACGGUCCGCCCCGCUCACGGACCGGGGUUCAGCUGCCGGUUCCCCCGGCGGGCGGCAGCAAGGGACGGGGCACAGCACCGCGCGCGGGAGACGGGGGGAAGAGUUCUUGGCAGUAACUUUCAUAUGCAGAGACGCGACAACUUGCUUUCUGCCAAAGGAGAAGAGAAGCAGCUGCCUUUCAGUGCUGUUUAAUCUUUAGCUCCAUCGCCCCUCGAGAAAAGGAAGAAAGGAAGUUAUUUAGAACGAAAGUCUUGUCGUUUGGCUGCUGGGGAUUACAGUGCGAGGGAAACUUAAUACGGUUUUCCACAGGGGAGAGCCGGGGGCAGCUCGAUCCCACCCUGCACUGCCCAUCCCGGACCGGCAUUCUCCAGCCCUUACACCCAGCAAGCAGAGCGGGCGAACAACCAAGGAGCCUUGGAUUAGAAGCAAGCUCAGUUUUGUGUUUCCAUAGGAAUGCAUGACAUCCCGGCACAGAGGAACACGAUAUACCAGUCUUAAGUCAUCUGCUCUAGGUGGCACAUGCCCAGCAAGGAGGCACAAGUGAGCUGGCAGGAGAAGAUGUGAGUUUAAACACAACUACUUGUUAAUGACAUCUACUCAAGAGCAAAAAAUACCAAGGCAUCAACUGCAGAGCUGCCCCUGUGAUCUGGAAGCAGAGCUGGAAGCCAAAAGCUUCAUCAGCUUUAUUUCCAAUUAUUAACUAAAAGUUUCAGAGAACCAGAGAGAGGUUGAAAAAAACCAACACAGUGUGAUGGCAGCUGCUUCAGGUCUUGAUAGGAGACUUGACAUGAACAAGAGGAACCUUGUCUGAAAGGUCUUGACCAUCUCCACUUCAGGGAUGGGCAGAGAAAAGGGCAAAGCAGUGGAAUUUGUGAUUCUGCAAGUUUUGCUAGGGUAUUGUUUGGUUGCAAUAAUUUAAGCAAUGUCAUCCUAUAUAGCCAAGAGUGCAGCUCUGGUAAUGGUGCCUCACAGCUGUAAAGAAAAUGCAGUGCCAGCUUGCUGCAAUGCCAAAAAAAGUCAUUUUGUUAGGCAGAAAUGAAGUCAGUUGCAAGAAGCAAUGGAAAAAUCAGGACUAAGAAAUGGAGGGUAACUCAAUCCUUCCAGAGGUCAAGAGACUGGCAAGAACCUCAUAUUCAGUAGUAACACAUACCACACAUUCACAGACUGAAAAACAAGCCCAGAACUUCUGUACAAUUCUAAUUAAUAACUUUAGGGCUUUAUUCAAGCAUUGUAGAAGACUAAAUGUACUUAGAUACUGUCCAGACACGUCAGAUUUCUUACACUUAACUACCAUUACAAGGCAAGCCUUUAAAACCUGCUGAAAACUAGUGCAGUGAUUAACUACAAGCAGCUACUCAUAACAUAUGGAUAAUAGAUUUGUAAAUAAAUUAGAUCUGGAUUAA